AUUGAACGCUGGCGGCAGGCCUAACACAUGCAAGUCGAGCGGAUGAAGGGAGCUUGCUCCUGGAUUCAGCGGCGGACGGGUGAGUAAUGCCUAGGAAUCUGCCUGGUAGUGGGGGAUAACGUCCGGAAACGGGCGCUAAUACCGCAUACGUCCUGAGGGAGCAAGUGGGGGAUUUUCGGACCUCACGCUAUCAGAUGAGCCUAGGUCGGAUUAGCUAGUUGAUGGGGUAAAGGCCUACCAAGGCGACGAUCCGUAACUGGUCUGAGAGGAUGAUCAGUCACACUAGAACUGGAACGCGGUCCAGACUCCUACGGGAGGCAGCAGUGGAGAAUAUUGGACAGUGGGCGAAAGCCUGGUCCAGCCAUGCCGCGUGUGUGAAGAAGAUCUUCGGAUUGGAAAGCACUUUAAGUUGGGAGGAAGGGCAGUAAGUUAAUACCUUGCUGUUUUGACGUUACCAACAGAAUAAGCACCGGCUAACUUCGUG
rnacentral:rRNA from 1 species